rnacentral:tRNA from 1 species
UGGCUCAGGUGGUAGAGCAUGGCGCUUGCAAUGCCAGGGUUGUGGGUUUGAUUCCCAC